ACCAUAGGUAGAGGAGCAUUGUCUAAUAGUAGUUAGCCUUAGGGUGAUACCAAAGAGGGAUAACGAAAGGAGCCAGUGCCGAAGUGAGUUUUGGGUUAUCAAGCCAGCUUGCUGGGGUUGUCGCCGAAUAGGGGCAACACUGCCAUAGUAUAUAAUGACAUUAACUAUGGAGCGCUACUGUGGAG
rnacentral:ncRNA from 1 species